rnacentral:lncRNA from 1 species
GGAAGAAUGUGAGCCUGGAUGCAGCCGUCCUGACUGGGGCUGUAGGAAUGGCUGGUAGCCACCCAGCCUCUGUUUGAAGGCAUCUGGGAGCAAGACAGGCAACAGACACUGAUGGACAAGUUGUGUCCCUGACUGUGGGACAGGGAAGGGUGAGUAGCUAAGAGAAAGGUGAAGUAGUUGGUCCAGAAGUAAUCUGAGGGAGUUAAGGGUGUUGAACAAAUGGUGGGUAGGGGUGUGGGAGAACGGAAGGGCUCUGGCCAAAGCAUAAAAAGAUAGAGAGAGAGAGGAAAAAAAAGAACAAGAAGAAACAGUUUUUGUCUGAGAUAUUAUUUGGGGAUACAGUGCAUUUAAAGAAUGGAAGAGAAUAGAAAUGAUACAAUGAUCCAUUUUCUCACGCCCUGUAUUUUUAUUGAGCCUUUUCCUUGAAUUGGGUACAAGGAAUAUAAAGAGGUCCUAUAAGCAAUAUGCUUGCUCUUCAGAGUUUGGGAAGGCAGGAAAGGCAUUUAACUGGACAUGUAUAACCACAUGUUUACACAUCUCUACAAUCUCAAUCCUUAUAACAACCUUUAACGUAGGUAUUGUCAGCCCUAUUUUAAAGAGGAGGUAACUGAGAUUAGGGAUGGAUGUUUUAGUGACUUGCCCAAAGUUACCCAAUAGGUAAGUGGCAGAGCCAGGCCAAGAACCUUGAGUCCUUUUUUCUGUCCGCUGUAACACACAGCUAAGUCUUGGCACAGGACAAGGACUUUAAUUAGGCUUUGAGAGAAGGGUGGGACUUAACACACAGACGAGUGGGGAUUCCGGUUAGGCCGAAAGGUGAGAAUGAAGCAGGGAUCUGUGAGUAGACCUGUUUUGACUACAGAGAGGGUUUCCUGGGAGCGAAGUAGGAGAUAAGCUGGGAAAGGGAAGUAGCAGCCAGAUAAGGGAGAGUUUUAAAUGGCUAGAAAAGAAUUGCCGGGAAAGGGGGACCCGAUUUAGAGGCGAAGAGGUUGAUGACAAAACCAAACAUUUUAGAAAACUCAUCUGGUAGUGGUACAGAGAAAGAAUUAGAAUUGGGGGAAACUGGAGUCAGAAAUUCAAGUCAAGAGUUUGGGAUAGUGCAGGCCUGACAAGCAACAAGGGGGUAAUGAUACAAAGUAGGUCUGUGAGGGCAGUGGCCCAAGCCUGUGGAUUUCUUGUAGCAUUCUAUUGUUUGAAAAAAUAUAUAUUAUGGACACUCAAUACUUGAGAUAUGGAAAGAAAAACUAUGGCUUUGGAGUCAAAUAGACCUUGGUUUCAAUCCAAGUUCCGGGUGAUCUGGAGAAAUUUACUUACAUAACUUUGCUGAGCCUUUGAUUCCUUAUGUUAAAAUAGGGCUAAUAACACUCAAUUUACAGGAUGAUUGGGAAGAUUAAACAAGACACAAUGCUGGAUUCUGUGCAUCCCUCUACAAUUUUUGGCAGAUCGGUGAAAUGUAAGGCAUGUCAUCAAUCAAAAAACAAUGAAGCCUGGCGCGGUGGCUCACACCUGUAAUCCCAGCAGUUUGUGAGGCAGAGGCAGGCGGAUCACUCGAGGUCAGGAUUUCGAGACCAGCCUGGCCAGCAUGGCAGAAACCCCUCUCAACUAAAAAUACAAAAAUUAGCCGGGUGUGGUGGUGGGCGCCUGUAGUCCCAGCUACUCGGAGGAUGAGGCAGGAGAAUCACUUGAACCCGGGAGGAGGAGGUUGCUGUAAGCCAGAUCGUGCCACUGCACUCCAGCCUGGGUGACAGAGUGAGCUGUUUUUUUAAAAAAAAAAAAA